rnacentral:rRNA from 1 species
UACGUAGGAGGCGAGCGUCGUCCGGAUUUACUGGGCGUAAAGCGCGCGCAGGCGGCAUACCAAGUACAACGUGAAAUCUCCCUGCUCAACGGGGAGGGAGCGUAGUAAACUGGUAAGCUAGAGGACGGUAGGAGGGGGGUAGAAUUGCUGGUGUAGCGGUGAAAUGCGUAGAGAUCAGCAGGAAUACCCGUGGCGAAGGCGGCCCCCUGGGCCGAACCGUGACGCCUGAGGCGCGA